UCACAGAGAAGGGGACCCAAGUCAAAUCGGCAUUAGCAGCCUUUCCAUGGUUCUUGAGGGCCCACCAAGGGAGAGCAGCAGUAGCAACAUCAGGUUUCAUAGUGGGUCCUUGUAUUCAACUGCCAUUCUCAGAGGACAGCAUGAUGCAGUAGGAGAGACAACUGUCAAUUCCAUCAUGAAGUUCAGGAGUAGACCUUUCAUGUCAUCUUUGUAGAAUGAAGACAACUCUAAACUCAGCCUCACUUCAGUUUCUAGUUCUUUUGACUCUGGGAAGAUGUCUACUUUGUCCCCAACUGGGUGGGUUCUUAUGCUAUCAGAAGAAUUAGAUAAAAGUACAACUGGGACAGGAAUGAAACUAUUCUUAUGCUCAGGCAUAAAGAAGGCAGCACAUGGGGGACAGAAAUUGCAGGAUGACUAAAAGGACAAAGGUGUACAGCUUUUAUGGCAUCGACAAGAAAAACUGGACCCUUCAUCCACUUUGCAGUUUGACAAUUGACAAUUCUGUCUUACACCUAUGAAAAUAUUGUCUUAUUUAAAUUUUACCUAAACUUCAUCCUCUCCUCCAAAGUCCUAUAGUAACUCCUUUCGUUAGUGAGAUGUGAUUUCUCUAGAAGGGAACUGUCUCAAACUUCAUCUUUGUGCAACUCAGGUUAUGGAAAGUGGGAAGGCAGUAUGACAAAAGCAGAAAAUAUACAUAUAUAGAUUUAGCUAGGCUGUGUUAAUCAUAAAUAUGUCCGUCUCAGGUUUCCUGGCACCAUAAAUGGGUCAGCUGCUGGGGACCAGAGGGUUGGGAGUGGGCAGUCCUACAAGCCUCUAUUCCUAGUAGGAGGAAAUAAGGGAAACAGAAAAAACAAGUCAUUUGGAAGUUGCCAUUAAUUUCAAAGGGAGUCUUUUUCAAUUGGUCACCAUGUCUAAGAAAAGAAAUUCCAACUAGAGUAUUUUUCUGAAGUAAAUACCUGCACAUGGAGACAGCGAUUAGACAAGAAAAAUUUCUCCAAUUAGUUAAAGUGUUUCCCUUAGUGAUUCAUCUUUCUGAAUUUUCAAUAAAGUUUAAGAUUUAAUGAUU